UGAACGCUGGCGGUAUGCCUUACACAUGCAAGUCGAACGGUAGAGGGGCAACCCUUGAGAGUGGCGAACGGGUGAGUAAUACAUCGGAACGUGCCCAGUCGUGGGGGAUAACGUAGCGAAAGCUACGCUAAUACCGCAUACGACCUGAGGGUGAAAGCAGGGGAUCUUCGGACCUUGCGCGAUUGAAUGAGCCGAUGUCGGAUUAGCUAGUUGGCGGGGUAAAGGCCCACCAAGGCGACGAUCCGUAGCUGGUCUGAGAGGAUGAUCAGCCACACUGGAACUGAGACACGGUCCAGACUCCUACGGGAGGCAGCAGUGGGGAAUAUUGGACAAUGGGCGCAAGCCUGAUCCAGCCAUACCGCGUGGGUGAAGAAGGCCUC
rnacentral:rRNA from 1 species